UUACGGCCAUAUCAAGCUGAAACAUUGGUUCCCGUACGUCCACCAAAGUUAAGUAACGUCGAGAAUUGUCAGUACUUAGAUGGGUAACCACUUGGGAAUACCUGGUGCU